rnacentral:rRNA from 1 species
UACGUAGGGUGCAAGCGUUGUCCGGAUUUAUUGGGCGUAAAGAGUUCGUAGGCGGUUUGUUACGUUAGGUGUGCAAACCCAGUGCUUAACACUGGGCCCACACUUGAUACGAGCAGACUUGAGUGUUGUAGGGGAGACUGGAACUCCUGGUGUAGCGGUGAAAUGCGUAGAUAUCAGGAAGAACACCGAUAGCGAAGGCAGGUCUCUGGGCAACAACUGACGCUGAGGAACGAAAGCGUGGGGAGAGACUAGGAUUAGAUACCCUAUUAUUCCACGCCGUAAACGUUGGGUGUUAGAUGUCGGAAGCCUUCCACGGCUUUCGGUGUCGUAGCUAACGCGUUAAACACCCCGCCUGGGGAGUACGGCCGCAAGGCUAAA